rnacentral:tRNA from 1 species
CACUUCAUUGGUAAUGAAGAGGUCCCCGGUUCAACUCCGGGAGUGAGCACCA